rnacentral:rRNA from 1 species
AUUGAACGCUGGCGGCAUGCCUUACACAUGCAAGUCGAACGGUAACAGGUCUUCGGAUGCUGACGAGUGGCGAACGGGUGAGUAAUACAUCGGAACGUGCCCGAUCGUGGGGGAUAACGAAGCGAAAGCUUUGCUAAUACCGCAUAAGAUCUAAGGAUGAAAGCAGGAGACCGCAAGGCCUUGCGCGAACGGAGCGGCCGAUGGCAGAUUAGGUAGUUGGUGGGAUAAAAGCUUACCAAGCCGACGAUCUGUAGCUGGUCUGAGAGGACGACCAGCCACACUGGGACUGAGACACGGCCCAGACUCCUACGGGAGGCAGCAGUGGGGAAUUUUGGACAAUGGGCGAAAGCCUGAUCCAGCCAUGCCGCGUGCAGGAUGAAGGCCUUCGGGUUGUAAACUGCUUUUGUACGGAACGAAAAGACUCUUUCUAAUAAAGAGGGUCCAUGACGGUACCGUAAGAAUAAGCACCGGCUAACUACGUGCCAGCAGCCGCGGUAA